UAAAAGUGUCGAAAUUCUACU
rnacentral:piRNA from 1 species